AAUUCCCCUUCUGCACAUUCAGAUAUAAAGUUCGAUGAAUCAGAUUGUGAUGAAGAAAUAGAAACUGAAGAUGCUUCCGGCAGCAUUAAACGCCCACCUGAAAGAUCUCCACCACCAGUACCUUCAUCUUAUGAUAAACAGGAUUCUAUUCAUCGUGUUCACCCCAAAUUGCCAGAUUAUGAUGAUCUUGCAGCUCGCUUUGAAGCUCUCAAGUAUCGCAAGUCACUACCUUGAAAUCAGAUGCUUGUAAACCAGCUUUGAGUUUUGUUGGGAUUCAGAUUUUAUGUUUACUUGAUAUCAUAUACGAUGUUAUGCAUGAUAUAGUAUCAACACUUGAUAAUGCAUUUAUUUUGCAUGAAAUGUCCUUGAGACAGAAAUUUUAUUCUGUAAUUAAAGAGCAGUGUAUUUUUUUGGGACUUGGGUAUACAACUCUUUCAAAUUUUGAUGAAUCAGAUUGUGAUGAAGAAAUAGAAACUGAAGAUGCUUCCGGCAGCAUUAAACGCCCACCUGAAAGAUCUCCACCACCAGUACCUUCAUCUUAUGAUAAACAGGAUUCUAUUCAGCGUGUUCACCCCAAAUUGCCAGAUUAUGAUGAUCUUGCAGCUCGCUUUGAAGCUCUCAAAUUUUAUUCUGUAAUUAAAGAGCAGUGUAUUUUUUUGGGACUUGGGUAUACAACUCUUUCAAAUUUUAUUCUUUUUCUUGUUAAUGGAAGAUGGCACUGUGUCAUUAACCUUCUAAGCUUAAUUUCAAAACCUG
rnacentral:lncRNA from 1 species